rnacentral:snRNA from 1 species
GUGCUCGCUUCGGCAGCACAUAUACUAAAAUUGGAAAGAUACAGAAAAGAUUAGCAUGGCCCCUGUGCAAGGAUGACAUGCAAAUUUGUGAAGCGUUCCAUAUUUUU